UACGUAGGGUGCAAGCGUUGUCCGGAAUUAUUGGGCGUAAAGAGCUCGUAGGCGGUUUGUUGCGUCGGCUGUGAAAUCCCGAGGCUCAACCUCGGGUCUGCAGUCGAUACGAGCAAACUAGAGUGUUGCAGGGGAGACUGGAAUUCCUGGUGUAGCGGUGAAAUGCGCAGAUAUCAGGAGGAAUACCGAUGGCGAAGGCAGGUCUCUGGACAUUUCCUAACGCUGAGGCACGAAAGCCAGGGGAGCAAACGGG
rnacentral:rRNA from 1 species